GUACAGAACACAAGAUUUAGAUGAACUGAAAUAUCAGGUAAAAUAAAAUAAAAUCCAAUCUCAGAAAACAAAUCAAAAUAUUAAGGAUCCCUGAAGUAUUAAUCCUACUGAGAUCUCACUGGACUCAAGUCAUAGUAUAGUGAGGCAUUCGCGUGACCCUACUGAUUCACCUCAGGAAACUCCUGGGACCCAAGUGGCUGCAUGCAACACUCAGGAAGUGAUAACUAGUUUAUCUAAAACUCCCUUAAUUAGGCUUUCAAGCCAAGCUUUUGAUAUGCAUCUUCCUCCCUGCCUGUCAUUUUUAAGUUUUCCUAGGACAGUUUGCACUGAGAGCUGUUGUUAAGUUGGGUUUCUGGCACCACAGCUAGUCUGGGUUCAUGGGGAUGCAGAGAUGGCUUAUGAGGUGGGUCCAAAGGGUGCCUUCACCUUGCCUGGAGAUAUACAAAACCCCAGAAAUGGAGUCUCUGCUCGGGACACACAGGGGGCUUCAGAGGAUCCUUAUGAAAGACGAGUUAAAAAAUGUCAGGUAGGACAGGUGCAGGGAGACAGGGGCUGAGUCUGACUGGCUCUCGGUCCUGCACCACUGACUCCAUGGACAUCGAUGGGAGGACUGGGGACAGGACAGGCGGGGCAGAGGAUGGGAAGGAAAGGGCAGACAGCUAAUGCGUUUCAUUAACAAGUAAGAUAAAUCAGAGACUUAAAAGAGAUUAAAGACCAAUCAGAAUAAUUUGGCAACUUUAAUUCUUAGGAAGAUCAAAGUUCCCUCCAAACCUAAUUUGAUGUUUCAUUCCUAGAAGCAAAGACCAGCAUGGCACAGUAUCACUCCAGAGGAAUUAAGGAAGAGCCUUGGGGCCGCUUCCCUCACAUUCAUUUGAAGAAUGGACACCUCCCUACCUCAGAAUGCUUUAGGGAGGGACUGCUACCCUUACAUGGUUCCUUAUUAAAUUUGAAAAGUGCCUCAAAGUUUGGACACCAGAAAGACACCCCAAAAACAUGUGUCUAAACGGCAACUUCAGGUUAAUAUGACUAAAGCAGUUACAUUGUGAGAAGUGCUGAAGUAUGUGAUGUCUUCCCCGGCACAGGAGUGGCCACAGCUCCUCACCAAAUAGUGUAGCCACCAUCUGAGCCACCCAUGAAGAAGUUUCCCUUGCGUUGAGUUACAAGGACGUUGGCUCCCUGCAUGACUGCAAGCUGAGCAGCGUUGGGAGGGCAUCCAGGAGGUGGAGGCUGGAAGGAAAGGACAAGGUACAGUGGGCACAGGGAAAGAACACAGGGAAGCAGACACUGCGUAAGAAGGUGGCAGUGUGCCAACUACUAACUUUUAUUUCUGUGGGCAGUGGGGGAGGUCAACCCAGGAACUCAGGAACUCUCACUAAACUGGUUCCUGCUAUGUAGCCCAAGCUGACAUUAAACUCAAAGGAAGUCUCUUGC
rnacentral:lncRNA from 1 species